UUCCCUCCAAGCCCGCUCUUUGUCCCUCAGUGAACAUUAGUGGGUGUCUCAGCCCUGGUUUCUGGCACCCUACAUGGAAAACCAAAGACCUCACAGUGGGGCCACCUCUGCAGACGGGGAGCCGACUCGGAGGCAGGUCAACGGGUGGUGACAGCUCCUCACUGCUCCUCUUCCUGCGUGUCUUCAAGAUGCUCAUACCUCUGCAAAUAAUCCCUGCAUUAAAUUCUCUCCAUCAUUCAUCAGACUCCUGGCUGACUCACCAAAGAAGAGCUGUGUGAUAUUACACAAGUCCCUUACCUCUUGGGCGUCCAUUCAUUUAUUUGCAAAAUAAUGGAUUUGGACCAGACUGGUGUUUCUCAAACUCAGUUCCAUAUUGGGGUUCUCGCUGCCAGAGACAUGUCCGGACGGUGAGAUGGGAAAGAAUCUUUCUCAGUGACCAGAAUCCUGGCCAACAGCCUUUGGAGGCCAGAGCAAGCUGCGUUUAUUUCCUGGACUCUUGAGUAUUGGGUGGAAGAGGUAGAAUGGCGUAUUUGAAGGUGAUUGUGUGUGAAUGGGUUUCAGUUCUUUUCAACAACAACAUUCAACGUGGAUCAAAGUGCAGAAAAAAUAUGCCUCCGAAAGCUGUUUAAAUUCCCAUUUUUCUUUUUGUAAUUAUGUUUGUUGCACUAAGAAUCUGACUGCAAAGAUCUGAUAUAGAUCUUGUUUAGUCAAGUAGUACACAGAUACUUUGUCUUUCUAGAUUUCCUUCUAAAGGUAAUUAUUGGUAGUGAGGAAGAACCAUCAUAGAUUUAUCUUUAAGGAGAUUAAUAAGAAUAGAAAAUGUCAGAAUCAUACUUUUUAUUUUAUUCAGAUGGAAAAAGAUACUUGAACUAAAAUAAAUACUUGUGCCACUGGAUUCCUAGCAUUCAUUUAUCCUGUUUGUAAGGAAAUCUGACUGUAGUACGGACACCCAGCACUUUUUCUUUGACUUUCUCCCAUCCCAGGGUCUAGAAAGGAGGGUUCCUGGCCUAUGUAGAUGACCCUCUUCUAACUACCAAAGAAAACAGAAAAGCAUGAGGGAGACAUUUUCAUUCCCUAAAUGUUGUGCUGGAGGUUCUGAUGUUUGGGGCUGAUGUUAGCAGCCACUUUACAGAUAAAAGGAAAAAGUCAAGCUCCUCACGGAGUGGUUGACCCAGUGUCCUCUUGGGAUCAGCUCUAAAACCACGGUGUUCAGAUUCCUUAAUAUGUAUGAUAACUAAAUGCCACAUUUCAAUGAAUUAAAUUUGCGGAUGUUUGUUGAGUGCCUAUAAUCUGUUAGCCACUGUUUUAAAUCCCUUAAAAACAUCAAUUAACAAAGAUCCUUGCCUUCCUAGAGCUACAUACUAGCUGCUAGUUGUCAUUACCUACUGCCUGCAGUUGAAACCUUUUCCGAAUAUCCGUGGUAUAAUUUGAACUUUUAUGGUUUGGGUGCAGUGGUGUGCUGGAGCUGACUCCUACCAGCUUGCAAGAAUUGAUAAAUGUUUAGGAUUUUUUUUUUCUUUAAACACAGCAGCUUGGUUAAGUUGUAUACAUGUGUAAUUGAAUUAUAUUAAAAGUAGUCAAACUUAGCAUUUCCAACUUAUUUAUCAGUUGACCUUUUGAAGUUAUUUGCAUGUAUUGUGUUUGUAUGAUGCAGAUAGUAUGUAAUGGGUCACUCCUGUGCCUCUCUUCCCAAGUUCAUAUUCUAUGACAUCACUUUGGCAUCUUGUAGCCAACCAUGGUGGGAAUAUUUAAGUCACGGAAACUGACAACUGCUACAGAUCAAAGGGCUUGGUUUAUUGUUCUGAUGAGGGUCUAGAUUUAAGAAUGAAAUGGAGAAAAUGUUAAUCCAGAUUAAAUUUAAAAUAUUGUUGUGUCUGUGACCAUUAUAUUCUGAAUGGUCAAAAAUGUGAGGAAAUAUUCUUCCAGCAUUGAAAUACUAUUAUGUAAAUCAGCAAAGAAGUUGCUGACAUCAUGAGGAUCAAGUGAUGCUCUGACAUUAUCUUCAUGGUUUCACCUUUACCCAGCUCAUCAAGUUCAACAAAACAUCUACCAACAUUCUUACUAAAACUACACUCAUAGAUCUGGUGCGGACACAAGAGCUUGACAAAAAUCAAGGAGUGCGUUUCGUGAGAAUCUAUUGGCUGUAUUGAUUUAUAGUUUACAAUAUUGUACACUUUUUUUUAUAAUUUGUAAAUUUUGUG